UGUAUUUUUUGAAGAGACAGAGUCUUGACAUGUUGCCCAGGCUGGUCUUGAACUCCUGGUUUCAAGCAAUCUGCCCUCCUUGGCCUCCCAAAGUGCUGGGAUUACAGGUGUGAGCCACCGCGCCCUGCCUGGGUUAGCUUUCUAAUGGAGGGUUGCUUAUUUGCGAUUUGGGAGCUUUGCUACAAAUGUUUAUUGAGUGUCCUCUAUGUGGCAGGCACUUAUGAAGGACAGAGGGGGAAAGUAGGUGAGGAUAGGGAGUUGAGGGUGAGACAAAGGGAAGUGAUGCUUUUUGAAAGUCCAGGCUAUUUUGCAGUAGAUCUCAGUGAUGAGCUCUCAGAAAAUCAGUGUUAGUGACUGUAACUUACUUUUCGCUAUGGUCAAAAGUUUGUCUGAAGGCCUUGCCCUGUGUGGGACACUCAGGCUCAGAGCACUUGCUUGGAUCUGGCUGAUGCAAUCCCAAGAAACUCCAGUCAGCGUUCUCUCCCUUUGAGCCAGUGCCUUCACUUCCCCGAGCCUGUCUCCCUCAUGUUUCCAUCAGACACAAAGGACCGGUCUGUCGAUACUCCUGUCUGUCAGUGACAAGCAAUUGGUACCCGAGCCUGGGGUGGGACUUCUGAUCUCAGCUUGGGGCUUGUUGAUGAAGCGAGGACUGCUGUUCUCUCGGAGCACCACCAGGACGCCUCUCAGAUCACUGUUUGAGCACAGUAAAGGGAUGAAUCGUGCUCAUGUUUAUUCUGCAAUUUCAAAGGCUGCCAUCUAAUGUUUAAGAGCGCAGAGACUUUAAAUGAACAAACGGUUUGGUGGAAAAUAAGAGAUGCACAUUGCCAUGAUUUGCUACCUGGUAGAUGGACUUUAUUUUAUGUGGUUAAGGUGCAGAGCUUAGAAGGCUCUUCAAGUACAGGUCUCUGUUUACCCUGCUCCUCCAGCCUGAGUUCCUUUUUUUUCUCCAUUCUGCUUGUUGAACUCCUGCCAAACUCCGAUUUUGACAUCAAAGCCCACCUUGAAUGCUGCUUGUCUCUAAAGCCAUCGCUGGCAUUUCCAGUAGGUAUUGCAGUACUUUGGAUCUCUAUCCUAGCACCUUCCCUGAAUUAGUAUGUGCAUGCUCCACUUCCCUGACUAGAACCAAUACUUCUCAAGGGCCACAGAGCCA
ensembl:lincRNA